rnacentral:lncRNA from 1 species
AGAAUAACAGGGGCAGAGAGACAACAGGUUGUAAUGUUUAAUGUAAUGUAAGUUCCGAAUAAUCUAGUUGAAAGGCAUUUGUGUUGUUUUCCUUUUUCUCCCCUUGCAGUUCUGUGGCUUCAUUUAUGUAAUUCUAGUUUCAGCAGAUACAACUUGAAACAAAUUACCUUCUUGUUAUAAGGUCUCAACGUUCAGUAGCAUCAGUAUACAUGGCCAAACGGACGGCCCGGCCCGACACGGCCCGGGCCCAAUUUGGUCUGGCCUGAUUAGGCACGGCUCCUCCUUGCAGAUCUCCCAGUGCCACCGUCGUUGGGGGCGGGUGCCGUCCGCGCCGCCGCUCGGAGAAGGGAGGGGCGGACACCAGCGCUGUCGCGCAGGAAAGGGAGGAGCUCCGAGCGGACACCGGCGGAGGAGGAGCUGGCGGCGCUCACCGCAGCGUGGAGAGGGGAGAGAAGAAGCCGGUGACGCCGGCCGCAGCGCGAGAAGGGGGCUGCGCCGACCGCCGCAGCAGUGGGGAGCGGAGGAGGAGGCAGCGGCGCCGCGCGGGGAGAGGAGGAGCUGGCGGCGCUCGCCGCGGCGCGGAGAGGGGAGAGAAGGAGCCAGCGACGCCAGCCGUGGUGUGAGAAGGGGACUGCGUCGGCUGCCGCAGUGGUGGGGAGUGGAGGAGGUGGCAGUGGCGGCACGGCGGUGCCGCGGCGUGAGGAUGGGAGGCAGCGGCGGGUUGCGCGGCAAGGGGAAAGGGUGGGGGGCGGCGCUGGCACUGGAGAAGAGG